rnacentral:misc_RNA from 1 species
GAUGAAGAACGCAGCGAAAUGCGAUAAGUAAUGUGAAUUGCAGAAUUCAGUGAAUCAUCGAAUCUUUGAACGCACCUUGCGCCCUUUGGCUAUUCCGAAGGGCAUGCCUGUUUGAGUAUCAUGAACACCUCAACUCUCAUGGCUUGCCGUGAUGAGCUUGGACUUUGGGGGUCUUGCUGGCCUGUGGUUGGCUCCUCUCAAAUGAAUCAGCUUACCGGUGUUUGGUGGCAUCACAGGUGUGAUAACUAUCUACGCUUGUGGUUUUCCACCAGGUUAACCUUCAGCGAUGGAGGUUCGCUGGAGCUCAUAAAUGUCUCUUCUCGGUGAGGACAGCUCUUUGAACGUUUGAUCUCAAAUCAGGUAGGACUACCCGCUGAACUUAAGCAUAUCAAUAAGCGGAGGA